ACGCACUGGAGGACCGAACCAGGGCACGUUGAAAAGUGCUUGGAUGACUUGUGGGUAGCGGAGAAAUUCCAAACGAACUUGGAGAUAGCUGGUUCUCUCCGAAAUAGCUUUAGGGCUAGCGUCGACAUUAGAGAUUCUUGGAGGUAGAGCACUGUUUGGGUGAGGGGUCCAUCCCGGAUUACCAAUCUCAGAUAAACUCCGAAUGCCAAAGAAUUAUGGUCGGCAGUCAGACUGCGAGUGCUAAGAUCCGUAGUCGAAAGGGAAACAGCCCAGACCACCAGCUAAGGUCCCAAAAUAAUUGUUAAGUGGAAAAGGAUGUGGGGUUGCACAGACAACUAGGAUGUUAGCUUAGAAGCAGCUAUUCAUUCAAAGAGUGCGUAAUAGCUCACUAGUCGAGUGACCCUGCGCCGAAAAUGUACCGGGGCUAAAACAAUUUACCGAAGCUGUGGAUACCUUUAUAGGUAUGGUAGGAGAGCGUUCUAUGUGUGGAGAAGGUGUACCGUGAGGAGCGCUGGAACGCAUAGAAGUGAGAAUGCCGGUAUGAGUAGCGAAAGACAGGUGAGAAUCCUGUCCACCGUAAGACUAAGGUUUCCAGGGGAAGGCUCGUCCGCCCUGGGUUAGUCGGGACCUAAGGAGAGACCGAAAGGUGUAUCCGAUGGACAACAGGUUGAUAUUCCUGUACUAGAGUAUGAAGUGAUGGAGGGACGCAGUAGGCUAACUAAAGCAGACGAAUGGAAGAGUCUGUCUAAGCAGUGAGGUGUGAAUUGAGUCAAAUGCUUAAUUCUAUAACAUUGAGCUGUGAUGGGGAGCGAAGUUUAGUAGCGAAGUUAGUGACGUCACACUGCCAAGAAAAGCUUCUAGCGUUUAAACAUACUCUACCCGUACCGCAAACCGACACAGGUAGUCGAGGCGAGUAGCCUCAGGUGAUCGAGAGAACUCUCGUUAAGGAACUCGGCAAAAUGACCCCGUAACUUCGGGAGAAGGGGUGCUGGCUUAAAGUCAGCCGCAGUGAAUAGGCCCAAGCAACUGUUUAUCAAAAACACAGCUCUCUGCUAAAUCGUAAGAUGAUGUAUAGGGGGUGACGCCUGCCCGGUGCUGGAAGGUUAAGAGGAGUGCUUAGAGGUAACUCGAAGGUAUGAAUUGAAGCCCCAGUAAACGGCGGCCGUAACUAUAACGGUCCUAAGGUAGCGAAAUUCCUUGUCGGGUAAGUUCCGACCCGCACGAAAGGCGUAAUGAUUUGGGCACUGUCUCAACGAGAGACUCGGUGAAAUUUUAGUACCUGUGAAGAUGCAGGUUACCCGCGACAGGACGGAAAGACCCCAUGGAGCUUUACUGUAGUUUGAUAUUGAGUACCUGUAAGUCAUGUACAGGAUAGGUAGGAGCCAUUGAAAUAGGGACGCUAGUUUCUAUUGAGGCGUUGUUGGGAUACUACCCUUGACUUAUGGUUACUCUAACCCGCUGGCAUAAUCGGCCAGGGAGACAGUGUCUGACGGACAGUUUGACUGGGGCGGUCGCCUCCUAAAGAGUAACGGAGGCGCUCAAAGGUUGGCUCAGAUUGGUUGGAAAUCAAUCGUAGAGUGUAAAGGUAAAAGCCAGCUUGACUGCGAGAGCUACAACUCGAGCAGGUAGGAAACUAGGACUUAGUGAUCCGGUGGUACCGCAUGGAAGGGCCAUCGCUCAACGGAUAAAAGCUACCCUGGGGAUAACAGGC
rnacentral:rRNA from 1 species